CCUACGGGGGGCAGCAGUGAGGAAUAUUGGUCAAUGGACGAGAGUCUGAACCAGCCAAGUAGCGUGAAGGAUGACUGCCCUAUGGGUUGUAAACUUCUUUUAUAGGGGAAUAAAAUGUUCCACGUGUGGGAUUUUGUAUGUACCAUAUGAAUAAGGAUCGGCUAACUCCGUGCCAGCAGCCGCGGUAAUACGGAGGAGCCGAGCGUUCUCCGGAUUUAUUGGGUUUAAAGGGAGCGUAGGUGGCUUGUUAAGUCAGUUGUGAAAGUUUGCGGCUCCACCGUAAAAUUGCCGUUGCAACUGGCAGUCUUGAGUUCAGUCGAGGUGGGCGGAUUUCGUGGUGUCGCGGU
rnacentral:rRNA from 1 species